rnacentral:lncRNA from 1 species
CAUGCAUGCUUCCUAAAAUUUUUCUACAUCCACAUCUGGUGGACCAUCAAAGAAGCAUACCACCAUACUAUAGUCACUGAAGAGCAACUGCAAUGAAGACCUAUACCCAGAUCUGAACCUCCCCUAUGUAGCAAUCAAGCGACAGAGAAUCAAGAGGAUGUGCAGCCCAAUACUACUAUCCCUCCUAUUCAUGUUGUAGACAUAAGAUCCUCAAAUUCAAUCCCAACUGGAUCAUCAAUACUGUGGUGCUAUAAUUGCGGUG